AUUGAACGCUGGCGGCAGGCCUAACACAUGCAAGUCGAACGGUAGCACAGAGAGCUUGCUCUCAAGUGACGAGUGGCGGACGGGUGAGUAAUGUCUGGGAAACUGCCCGAUGGAGGGGGAUAACUACUGGAAACGGUAGCUAAUACCGCAUAACGUCGCAAGACCAAAGAGGGGGACCUUCGGGCCUCUUGCCAUCGGAUGUGCCCAGAUGGGAUUAGCUAGUAGGUGGGGUAACGGCUCACCUAGGCGACGAUCCCUAGCUGGUCUGAGAGGAUGACCAGCCACACUGGAACUGAGACACGGUCCAGACUCCUACGGGAGGCAGCAGUGGGGAAUAUUGCACAAUGGGCGCAAGCCUGAUGCAGCCAUGCCGCGUGUAUGAAGAAGGCCUUCGGGUUGUAAAGUACUUUCAGCGGGGAGGAAGGCGAUAAGGUUAAUAACCUUGUCGAUUGACGUUACCCGCAGAAGAAGCACCGGCUAACUCUGUGCCAGCAGCCGCCGUAA
rnacentral:rRNA from 1 species